GAAAGAAAUAUCAAAGGUUCUACAGUACACGACAAUAUGUGGACGGGAGACGAUAGAUAUACACCAGGUCCUACAGUACACGACAGUAUGUGGUCCUACAGUACACGACAGUAUGUGGACGGGAGACGAUAGAUAUACACCAGGUCCUACAGUACACGACAAUAUGUGGACGGGAGACGAUAGAUAUACACAAGGUCCUACAGUACACGACAGUAUGUGGACGGGAGACGAUAGAUAUAUACCAGGUCCUACA